GCAUUGCAGACAUCGCUGAAACUUUUCAACGGACCAUUUCCACAGAUGGGUGAGUUUGUGUAGGCUUCAACCAUUCCAUUCGUGGUCUUUGUACUCUCAUUUUUGAAACUUGGUUUAGCUUUAAGCCACGGCAACACUGGUUUACAGUCUUGAGGCUCUCGUUUUUCAUCAACCAACUCAAGAUCUCUGCUGGCAAGUUCCUCAUUUAUUGAAUCCUUUGAUAGUACAUUCAAAUCAAAACCUUUUUCUGAUGUCAAGUCCAUAUUAUAGGAGGUAAUAGGAGAUUUCUCACAUCCAUUGUUAAAGGAGCGGUCAGAUGUCAAAUUGUCACUCUUGUUUUGCUUCUCAGAGUCAAAAGCAACAGAGAACCAACGGGGUGAUUCUUUGGGCCCUGAUGAGGACCCAUGGUCAAACCCAUUCCUGAUGGAGAAAUUAGUAGCCUCACCUAAAUUUGAUUUAGAACUGCCAUCAAUACGCCACUUGUCUCCAAAUAUAUCAUGGUAUUGAGGUGAUUUCGGACUCUUACCUACCAUGGCACAUGAGUUCAAUGACGGGUUUGUAUGUCCUGAUGAUAGCCGUGCAACAAAGCCACUUGGUUUACCCCAAGAAGAGAGUGUGUGCGACCAUGAAUCGGUA
rnacentral:misc_RNA from 1 species